CGAUACACAUCACCCCCCUGCCGAAACACGGCUAAAAAAAACCUGCCAAAACUAAAACAUGACUCGCUCAUAAAAAACAAAAACAUGCCUGGCUCAGACCCUCCUCAUCCUGUGUGGCUCCCUCGAUUGAUCCCAAAUCCCCAAUUAAUCCCACCGCCGCCUAGAGCACAAGAGCGGGCAGCGGCAGCCUGCGAACGCCAAGUACGGCGUGACCAGCCAGGUGGGCCGGUAGAGGAGUGCCGAGAUUGUUAUCCAGGACGAUUGGACGAAGAGGGAGCAAAUCUAUGAGUGAAAAGGAUAAGGGAAGGGAAGGAAUGCAAAAUGAAAGACUUGCAGUAGCUUCCCAGGCACCAAACUAAACCCAUCUCAUCCAUGGGGUUUCUUGCAAGAGUUUAGGACAUGGUUGGAGGAACCAGAAGCUUGUGCAUUUCUGACACAGAAGGCAUUAGCUACUCAUCUACAUCGAUAUAGACAGGGUGAUCUCGGCGAAUGAUGUGGACGUUCAUGGUAAGCACCUGCUCGUUCUUGAGCAGCUCAAACAGGCACAUGUCGUCAUCCUGCAGCUUGUUGUCGUUUACAAACUUCUUCCAGCCUGUGUGUAGCUCAUAAAAUUUGCACUUUUCCUUGUCGCCGAUAUAGAGCUUGGCUUCCCAAGUGUGGUUCUUCCCAGGCACUUGAAGCCUCAUCCACUGCUCCUCGCGUGGAAGAUGAUCAUCAGCGUAUCCCUGUUCGAUGUACUGAGUUGCACAUUCACAAGGUAGGAUGUUAAGUUGUCAACAGAUCAAAUAAGCAAACACAUGCGUCCUUACCAAGAAAGAGGAAACUGCAUGGAUCGAGCACAACUUACCAGCUUGGCACGGCAGCUAGGCAUGAUGGACACGAAUAUUUUGGUUUCUGGCUGAAUAACAAGGAGCCUCUCUUUGAUUUUUCUCUUCUGCUGCCAAGUCAGUUCGGUGCAUCUGGUAACCACAUACCCCGUGUCAGUGCGAGUCACUUUCAUCUUCUGCCGGCUAGCUGGUUUAAGAUGAUAGACUAUUAUUGCCACUCCACCAUCGCUCUUUGACAUUUCAAAUGCACAGAUAUCGCCUUCCUGCAAUUUGUUGUCGCGAACAAAGCAGGGCCAACCAGAAAAAAUGAUACAAGAAAGGAUGCAUGCUCCAUCAGUGAUAACCUUCAAAUUGGCAUCCCAUGUUUUGCUGUUCUGAGGAUGACAAAGUUUGAUAAUCUGGUCUUGAUGAGGAAGGUGAUUGGCAGCAUACUCCUUACGGAUGACCUAUUACAAAUGAAUGAUCUGGCUGAUGAAUUAUCUCAAACCAUAAUUUGCAGAGAGCUAGUGUUUCAACGAUUCGAACAAAGUUCUAGCAAGAUAUUCUGAAUUCUGUUUUCUGAACAUGGUGUUCAUUCAAAUAAAUAAAUAAUCAAAGCAUUGUACAGUAAUCAAAACAUACUGUAAACCUACCAGAAAUCCAUCAGAUAGAUUUUUCUCGUUCAUGGCUGUGACAUAAAAUUGAAUUCCAUUCCGAUUUUCGUUCAAAAAUGCAUCAACUCUUGCCUUCUGGGCACUAGUCAGUUUACAACCCAUUUCUAAAAUGUAAUGUGAUUCGGUAGACCCCCGAAGGCCACCUGAACUGCUGGGUUCCUGAAUAUCUUUUGGAAAUGUUACAUCUUCAGCUGUGCAACAUCAAUCAUGAAGGCAGAAAUCAGAAUAAAAAGUAAAUUAAGAAAAUCUAAAACAAAACAUCAAUAGAAAUUCAUACUCAACUGUUCAAUACUGAACUUGAUUUCUGUGAACUUGAGUCUGCUUGAUUUAUCUUUGAAGUUCUGCAACUGUCACUUGUACCGUCGUUCUGGCUUUCUUUUUUGGUGGGUAGUGAUUGAUCAUGAAAAAUGUCCCUCUCUUGGAGAUUAGGACCACAGCUCAUGAUAACACAUGAAAGCUCGUUCUCGCAGCCACUUGGUUUAAAGAUUUUUACUUUGAAGUGGGAGUCCCCACUGUAUGUAAAGACUAGGAAGUCAUUUUGUUUAAGUUCAUACGCACUGGCAAAGUUUGCCCACCCUGAUCCAAAAACUAACUUAUGCUGUUCCCUGGCAACCUGAACAAUAUAAAUUUUACCAUCUGGGACUUCUAGUUUGAGUUCAUCAGAUAUGUGACCUCUGAAAUUAGUUGCGAACUUUGGUGGUAUGGCCUGCAUGAAGAAAUAAAUCACAAAGGAUCUUUGACCAGAAAAUGACCACAUACGAGGCUAAGUGAUUGCUAGUCCAUCUUCAUGCCUAUAUAAUUCACUGCAAAGAAAACUAAGAGCACACAUGCUUCUGUAAUAUAAAAAAGGGCAGCCCGGUGCAUGUAGCUCCCGCUUGCACACAUGCUUCUGUAAUAUCUAUUAUCAAAUUUUGGUUAUCUAGGUAAGUAUACUUUGUGGCUUCGUGCAAUUAAUUCUCAAAAGAAGUAUAUUUAGUGUAACCCAAAUGGUGCUCAAACUCCUAAAUUCGUCAUCAAGAUUAUCAAAUUACUAGCAGUGUUACUCAGUUUUUUGCAAAACUAUAGUUGUGAAAACUGCAGGAGGUAUAUUUGGUGCACAAGAAACACUGUAAUUGGCAAGGUCUUACCAUUUCAUUCUUGAAAUUACCCAGAGUCAUAAUUUUGAAGAAAGACCAGUCAUGAUCUUUCAUGUGCCAAUAAUGGUGACCAACACAUUCUGUGCAUACUACACACGGUUUCUUCAUCCUGUCAUCAUCUUGUCCAGGCCUGCCAUAUCAGUUGAGAUGAAAUUGUUAGAAUAUUGAAAUCAAAAUCCACACACACGGACAACCAUUUUGAGACAAACUUUGACCGUCGAUUGGACCUACAUAAUAUGAGUUAUAUGCCCACCAAAAAUAUUCCACUCCUUGCAAACAAGUUUCCAGUGGUAUAAUUUUUAUGGUAUACUCAUACAUUAUUCGUUUAACUGAUGGUCAAAGCAAAUAACAAAAUAUGCGCAGACCUUGCAAACCUGAACAUAGGGAGAUGACAUGACGAGUGAACAAAGUUAUACUUAUUGGUCCUAGGAACACAAAAUGCAACUAAAGUUAGUACGGACCUUUCUCUAUGUGAUUGCAAAGGACUUUUACUUACUUACGAAGCCUUUUAUCCCAAACAAGUUGGGGUAGGCUAGAUAUGAAACCCUUUCACGAGGACUUCCCAGGAGGUCACCCAUCCUAGUACUACUCUCGCCCAAAUGGGUUUCAUACCCAAAAGACUGGCUAGUUUUUACGUUGGCUCGCCAAGCCUAUCACAACCCUUAGAUAUGAAACCCUUUCACGAGGACUUCCUAGGAGGUCACCCAUCCUAGUACUAUUCUCGCUCAAAUGGGUUUCAUACCUAUGGGACUGGCUAGUUUUUACGUUGGCUCGCCAAGCCUAUCACAACCCUCCUCCUUUACCCGGGCUUGGGACCGGCUAUGCCUAGAAGACAUAGGCGGAGUUAUGUGAUUGCAAAGGACUAUCAUGACAAAUGUCCCUUUCCUCGGCAUUAGGAC